GACGAACGCUGGCGGCGUGCCUAAUACAUGCAAGUCGAACGAACCGCGACUGAGUGCUUGCACUUGGUCAAGGUGAGUGGCGAACGGGUGAGUAACACGUGGGUAACCUACCUCAUAGUGGGGGAUAACAGUCGGAAACGACUGCUAAUACCGCAUAGGACAUGGAAUCACAUGAUUCUGUGAGGAAAGGUGGCGCAAGCUAUCGCUAAGAGAUGGACCCGCGGUGCAUUAGCUAGUUGGUAGGGUAAGGGCCUACCAAGGCGAUGAUGCAUAGCCGAUCUGAGAGGAUGAUCGGCCACAUUGGGACUGAGACACGGCCCAAACUCCUACGGGAGGCAGCAGUAGGGAAUCUUCCGCAAUGGACGCAAGUCUGACGGAGCAACGCCGCGUGAGUGAAGAAGGUCUUCGGAUCGUAAAGCUCUGUUGUUAGAGAAGAACAGCGCAUAGAGUAACUGUGAUGCGUGUGACGGUAUCUAAACAGAAAGCCACGGCUAACUACGUG
rnacentral:rRNA from 1 species